rnacentral:lncRNA from 1 species
UUCCUGAACUUUUCACAUUUAAAACUGAUCUGAAAUUAUUAAGUGUAUUAAUAGUCCAACACAGCUUCUCCAAGUGUUUUAGGAGUCUCCAAAAGUCUCAAACCUUUCUAAAUGUGAAUAACUUAUUUUACUGCAGAGAUAAAGGGAUUUGUAUCACCUUCACUUGUAGUCCAUAUAUAGGCCAAGGACUGUUAAAGGGUUAACGAAUAUUGUAAAGAAAUAAAGAAAUAAAGUAAAGCGGAGCUUUGGGAAACUCGGCUCAGUGAAAGAAGAGUCCACAGAGGGCGAUACAGCACCAGUUCAGCACAAAGACAGUGAAAGAAGAACACAGAUACUGGUGGAAGAAGAGGAGGAUUCAGGAACUGGAGGAGUUCAUAAACUCUACUGAUAUUUUACAGUAUUUCUCUCUAAACUGCGGUUUAAAUUAGGCUCGGAUUAUGGCGAAUGAGUAGCCGGAGUGUAUGUGGAGCACAGUGAACAGGUUGGAGAGCUGCAGCGGUGACUGUAACACAGCACGGGCUGAGCGGAGCUGAUGUGGGUUUACAGUCUGACACCGGAUGCGGGUUAACCUUCUGUUCUAUAGCUUUCCAUAUGAAGAUUUUCUCCCUGACCCUUUUCACUGACUGACCUGAAUGUUAUUUUACGCCUUAUUGUGGUCAGCUGGGUGGCCUACAGACACAGAGAAGACUCAUCAGUAAAAUGGGUGAUUGGACUCUGAAGACAGAGGAUGUAAAACAUGUCCUCCAAGUGGACAUUAAAGCUGAGCAAGAAGAUAAUGAAUCUCACUGUAAACUGGAGUGUAAGGACUUCAACAUAUCUGGAGCGUGUAGUCUCAAAUCUGAGUCUUUACCAGGGAUUGAGGAGUCAUUUGCUGAAAAUGACAUUGACUCAAUCGAAUUGGACUACGUGAAAGUGAAGGUGGAGGAUCCAAAUGAUCUGGAGUAUAUAUUAGAUAAUCAACUGUCAAAUGACCCAGCUCCAGUAUUCUAUGAAGAACCGGAGAGAUACUAUGGAAGCAGUCAAGAUAUAUCUCUCUCCAUCACUGCUCCGGUAAGUGCUGCUGAGAAACAGCGGAGAUACCGCGCACGUCGGGAUGCUGAUCCGGAGAGGAGGCAGAAAUAUCUACAGUAUGAGCGUCAGAGAUGGAGACGGGAUUUACAGCAAGGGAAGAAGAAGAUUAUUAGUGAUCUAAGUGAGCUAGAGAGGAUUCAGCAGCGUUACAAGUGGAGGAAGCAAUACAUGAAGAGAAAAGUGAUGGCUGAUGUUGGGACGCACAGUAUGGACACCCCCAUCAUUCUGUCCAACAUCCAGAGCAGCAUUCAGGAUCUUCAAGAUAGAUCUGUCUCUAUCAUGGCUCCAAUAAGUGCUGCUGAGAAACAGCGGAGAUACCGCGCACGUCGGGAUGCUGAUCCUGAGAGG